GGUUCCUACGGGGCGCAGCAGUGGGGGAUAUUGCACAAUGGGGGGAACCCUGAUGCAGCGACGCCGCGUGGGUGAAGAAGUAUCUCGGUAUGUAAAGCUCUAUCAGCAGGGAAGAAAGAAAUGACGGUACCUGACUAAGAAGCCCCGGCUAACUACGUGCCAGCAGCCGCGGUAAUACGUAGGGGGCAAGCGUUAUCCGGAUUUACUGGGUGUAAAGGGAGCGUAGACGGCUGAGCAAGUCUGAAGUGAAAGGCGGGGGCCCAACCCCCGGACUGCAUUGGAAACUGUAUAGCUAGAGUGCAGGG
rnacentral:rRNA from 1 species